GAACUUUGACCUUUUCUAUCUGUCUGCGUGCUGACGAGCUGAUAUUGCGCUGUACUGUGGCUGUUUUGUGAUCCGACUCCUGUGAUGUGGUCACACAUCACUCUGUGUUGCCUUGAGGUUGUCUGAUUAAGUCGGGAACCAAAAUAUAUGAAACAAACCUUGUGUGGAGGACGCCGUGAUAUAAAAGUUAUCUCAAGUUUGAGCUGAAGCUGACAUUCUCUCCUUGGUCGGUCGACCUCCUGGAACCCGUGGAAGCCACCCAGAGGUCAGAUAGCCAUUUUGCUGAUGAAACAUUUCCUGGUACAGUAUCUCUGCCCUCGGCCUGUGAAAGGUGUCCCCUAAAUAGGAAACCAGUCAAACUUCAUGACGAGCAGCGCCAACAGACGGGAAAUAGAGGAAGUUGAACGAGUUGAGGCGGCGCAUUUCGUGCUGCCGAACCGCCGAGUCAUCAAAACUGCCCGAGUGACGGACUGCUGACGAGAACUUUUGGAACACGUCGGUGCUGGUCAGGAUCAGGGUCCUGGGCUGGAGCACAGGGGACGGGGCUAAGCCAGAAGAAGAGGAGGAGGAGGCUUGACUGGACAGACUAUUGGGCAUCUGGACCUGGACGAAAGGAACAAAAGGCAGAAAGAGAGAAUAUAUAUCAUCUUACUUCAGGAAGAAGAAACUCAAACCUGGAAAACCAGCAGGUAGAGAAGGACGUUGAAGGAGCGUGACGUCGACGUCGCCGCCGCGCUGGCCGGAGUCUUCCGUUCUGCCACGAUGAAGGUCAGGUCGCCCAUCUCCUCUUCGCUGGG